UCCACUGGACCUUAUCAUUUAGAGGAAGGAGAAGUCGUAACAAGGUUUCCGUAGGUGAACCUGCGGAAGGAUCAUUGUCGAAACCUGCCUAGCAGAACGACCCGAGAACCGAUUUCAUAAACGUCCCCGCAUCCCGCACGGUCGCGGCCGCGCGCGUUUGCUAGUCCACCUGCUGGACAUGCUGCGCGCGCUCCGUCUUCCUCUGCGGGAGUACAAACGAAAACCGGCGCGAACCGCGCCAAGGAUCCCUAAACGAAUAGGCGCGCUCCCGCGAGCCCCGUUAACGGUGCGCGGACGGGCUGCGUCGCCGAAUUCAUUAUUACUAUGUCAAAACGACUCUCGGCAACGGAUAUCUCGGCUCUCGCAUCGAUGAAGAACGUAGCGAAAUGCGAUACUUGGUGUGAAUUGCAGAAUCCCGUGAACCAUCGAGUCUUUGAACGCAAGUUGCGCCCAAAGCCGUCAGGCCGAGGGCACGCCUGCCUGGGCGUCACACGCCGUUGCCCCCUCGCGCCCCGCACCCUCUUCUUGGGAGCGAACGCGGUGGGGCUGAUGAUGGCCUCCCGUGCGCUCCGCCGCGCGGUUGGCCCAAAUAUCGAGUCCCCGGCGACGUGCGCCACGACGAUCGGUGGUUGAGAGACCUCUGUCGCAUGUCGUGCGCGCCCGUCGCGUCACGCGGGCUCGCAUAGCGCCGCGCGCCGCACACAGUGCGGAGCCUUCAACGCGACCCCAGGUCAGGCGGGGUUACCCGCUGAAUUUAAGCAUAUCAAU
rnacentral:misc_RNA from 1 species